AGGAGCCGUAUGAGAUGAAAAUCUCAUAUACGGUUCUGUAGAGUGGUAGUAAAUGUGACUUAUAUGUCAAUUUUUCCACUAUCAC
rnacentral:ncRNA from 1 species